UACGAAGGGGGCUAGCGUUGUUCGGAUUUACUGGGCGUAAAGCGCACGUAGGCGGAUCGUUAAGUUAGAGGUGAAAUCCCAGAGCUCAACUCUGGAACUGCCUUUAAUACUGGCGAUCUCGAGUCCGGAAGAGGUGAGUGGAACUCCUAGUGUAGAGGUGGAAUUCGUAGAUAUUAGGAAGAACACCAGUGGCGAAGGCGGCUCACUGGUCCGGUACUGACGCUGAGGUGCGAAAGCGUGGGGAGCAAACAGG
rnacentral:rRNA from 1 species